UACUACUACUACUACUGCAGGAGGAUGGCGGGGGCAGCAGUGAGGCGGUGGUCGGCGGAGGAGGAGAGAGACAGGCGGAGAAGAAUGUCAAGGUCCAUUUCAAUUCUUCCUUCAACGUUGUCAAGUACGGGGACGGCACUGACAUCAAGGACUUGUCAAGCCAGUCAGUGAACCCAGUCUGCAAGACGUCUUGGUCAAGAUGGGACACAACCUAACACGGAAACCCUUCAAGCUGGAGAACCACUACUGGGUUGGUCACAGCUAAAGGAGAGAGAGAGACAGAGGGAGAGAGAGAGUACCUUACAGCCUACUAUUCCUGCAGCGGGUGUGUGGUGACCCAGGGCGUUGAGGGAAGCCAGACGCUCUCCUAUAGGGCUUCAGGCAGAUACAACUCCCUCAUCACCUGCUUCACUCCAGCCCAGACCUUGCCACUCACACCCAACAGCUGCUUCAUCUUAAGGUGGGACUGGUUAGGUUACGAUAUGUUUAGGGUAUCUUAAAACACAGGAUAGGCGGGAACUUAGGGUAUGAA